rnacentral:rRNA from 1 species
ACGGGAGGCAGCAGUGGGGAGUAUUGCACAAUGGAGGAGACUCUGAUGCAGCAACGCCGCGUGAGUGAAGAAGUAUUUCGGUAUGUAAAGCUCUAUCGAUGGGGAAUAUAAUGAAGGUACCCAAGUAAGAAGCCCCGGCUAACUACGUGCCAGCAGCCGCGGUAAUACGUAGGGGGCAAGCGUUAUCCGGAUUUACUGGGUGUAAAGGGAGCGUAGACGGAAUAGCAAGUUUGAAGUGAAAUACCUGGGCUCAACCCAGGAAUUGCUUUGAAAACUGUUAAUCUAGAGUACUGGAGGGGUAUGGGGAAUUUCUAGUGUAGUAGUGAAAUGCGUAGAUAUUAGGAAGAACACCGGAGGCGAAGGCGCCAUACUGGACAGAUACUGACGUUGAGGCUCGAAAGCGUGGGGAGCAAACAGGAUUAGAUACCCUGGUA